AUUAUUUUGGCAGAGAAGUGUAAUGAAUUUAGAAUUCAUUUAUGUAAGUAAAUUUACAAGUAAUA
rnacentral:tRNA from 3 species